rnacentral:rRNA from 1 species
UACGUAGGAUCCAAGCGUUGUCCGGAUUUACUGGGUGUAAAGGGUGCGCAGGCGGGUCUGUGCGUCAGAGGUUAAAUACUUCGGCUCAACCGAAGAAAUGCCUUUGAUACGGCAGGCCUUGAGUGUGAGAGAGGGUGGUGGAAUUCCUGGUGUAGCGGUGAAAUGCGUAGAUAUCAGGAGGAACACCAGUGGCGAAGGCGGCCACCUGGCUCAUUACUGACGCUGAGGCACGAAAGCGUGGGGAG